GAGGCCACAGAUGACGGUGAAUCACCACCCACAGCCACUGAGUCACGGGCACGGCCUCAGCAGAGAGGGCUCCAGGGAGGGUGUGGGGCUGCUCCCCAAGACAGCCCCCCUCACUUGUGCCGGGCUGUGGAUUUGAGCUGGUCUGCACUGUAAUCUCUACCGGUAUGAGGAGCUGCUGACAGACCAGGAACAUGCUCUGAGAACAACGGCCCUAGGACACACUACAGAAGGACCAUCAUGCAAUUUUCUCCCCGAGCUGCCCACCUCAGAGAAGUACACCACGUCCUGCCCCGCCAGAGAACGUUCCGGAAUCCUGGCGCACGAAAGCCCCACACAGCGCUCCCGAGGGGCCACGCACAGGAGCGAGCCCGCAGCGCCCCAGUCCCCGCUGCUCAUGUCCACAGCCAAACUACUCGAUUCACAGCACGCUAAGUCCUGAUAAAGCCAGCGUUGGCUUUGGAAAGGGCCAGGCACAUCCAGUCAUGGAAACUCGUCUUCUAAGUGUGGAAGGAAGCAGUGGCUUCUCUUCUUAGACUGUAGCUCUCUCCACUUCCUUCUCUGGAACAGUUUGACCUCAGGAUGGGGAGGAGAGAUACACAAACACAAUCUUCCCGGAUGUUCAGACUCAACCAGGUUCCCACUCAAGGAGGAACCCAUCUUUCCUGACCUAAUUCCAGUUCUUCGUUCAGCUCAGCUCAUAAUUUACCUCUCCCAGGGGCCUUCCGCUAAACUCCCCACUUACGCAGUGACUCCAAGCAUACUGAAGGUACAGGCUUUGGGCCAUCUCCCCCUAGGGACACCCACCGACCGACUCCAGGGGAAAGGAGCUACGGUUUUUCUUGGCAAGUCCUAAGCACACAGAAGUAUCUGUCAAAGUAAAUGCACCCUAUUUAGUUUAUAGAUUGGACACAUGGACACAGAUACAAAGAAGAAUUUGUUCCAGUAUUUGCGCUUCCAAAUAGGUGACGCUGUGUCUUUAAAACCCAAGCCCUAUGUAGCACUUAUUUAAGAUAAGGAAAAUCUUUGAAAAUAGUUGUCAGGCCCAGUGUGGCGGUGCACACCUGUAAGAA